GAUGAAGAACGUAGCGAAAUGCGAUACUUGGUGUGAAUUGCAGAAUCCCGUGAACCAUCGAGUCUUUGAACGCAAGUUGCGCCCGAAGCCAUUAGGCCGAGGGCACGCCUGCCUGGGCGUCACACGUCGUUGCCCCCCCAUCUACUCCUUCGGGAUUGCGGGGGGCGGAUGAUGGCCUCCCGUGCGCCUCGUCGCGCGGUUGGCAUAAAUGCCAAGUCCUCGGCGACACACGCCACGACAAUCGGUGGUUGCGAAACCUCGGUUGCCCUUCGUGUGCGGUCGUCGCGCAUCGAGGGCUCGAAAAAAUUGCCGGGCUCCGGCUCGGCUUUCAACGCGACCCCAGGUCAGGCGGGGUUACCCGCUGAAUUUAAGCAUAUCAAUAAGCGGAGGA
rnacentral:misc_RNA from 1 species